GGACCCGCACAAGCAGUGGAGCAUGUGGUUUAAUUCGACGCAACGCGAAGAACCUUACCAGCGUUUGACAUGAGAAGUGCCGGUUACAGAAUGGUAACCUUCAGUUCGGCUGGCUUCUACACAGGUGCUGCAUGGCUGUCGUCAGCUCGUGUCGUGAGAUGUUGGUUAAGUCCCGCAACGAGCGCAACCCUUAUCGUUAGUUACUAACAGUUCGGCUGAGGACUCUAGCGAAACUGCCGGUGAUAAAGCCGGGGAAAGUGGGGGAUGACGUCAAGUCCUCAUGGCCCUUACACGCUGGGCUACACACGUGCUACAAUGGUAACUACAACGGGACGCAAUACCGCGAGGUGGAG
rnacentral:rRNA from 1 species